ensembl:lncRNA
CGCGGCGAGAGCGGAGGGCUGAAGUCGGCUGCCAUUGGUUAGAAUGGAGCAGGGAAAAUGUGAUCUUCCUGACGCCGACUGUGCACGGGGAGCCCCGAAAGGAGCACUUUCUCUGCUCGUUUCCGCUGUGGAGCGCGCUGAGAGCUUCCCUGCCAUUAACGGGGGGGUGCUCGGCUCAGGGAGUCCGAGGCAGACGAGGAAAUGGCAUUAAAUAAUAAAGUGAAAACUACUAAUUAUGCUGGAAUGAGUUUUAGGAAGAUGGGUUUAACGUUCCCUGGGAGGCUUCUGUGAGGAAUGUAUCAUUUGGUAAAUGAUGGUGAUGAGAAUAUUGACGUCGCACACAUGAGGCUAUCAAUGCUGUCGUGCAGCGUCUCCAUCAGAAUAACCCCAAAGGAUGAGUCCGUGUUGGAGCCACAUCGUGCAUUUGUUACACAUCGUGCUGCAGCUAAAUAAUAACGCUCUUUUGCUCCUUUCAUUCAGGCUUUCCAACUCUGCCCCGUAACUCCAGGCAGUUGGUUAUGUGCACGUAGCAGGCGGCACCCAUCCAGAAUAUAUUUGUCCCAGCUUACGUUUACAUGAGGUCCUGCUACACUCGUACUAUUGCAGGGGUAGGAGCGGCAUUGCUGUAAAUGGAAGUUAGACCUGCAGGACCUUGCAGGCCGAAUUCAGUGUCACCCUGGCGCAAGCAGAGCCCACCUAAUUGCAUACUUCUUAAGAUCUCCAGACAAGUACAAAUAAGUACAAUUCCUCACCCACUGCCUAGAGGAGCCCUCGGCCUUCUCUGCUUGCACUGAGCAGGAGAAACGCAGUUCUGGGAGAGGUGCUGCAGCCGUGAGUCUCCAUAUGGUUUGUGUCAUUGCCCCAGGACGAAAGAGACAUCCAGGGUUUGGACGGUUUCUGGUGCUGUUCUUCUACGGCCUCCAUCCCAGCUGCCCACAUCAGAAGCAAAGCGAGGCCUUAACCCUUGGCAACUCCUAGCAGCUGAAAGGGCCAUCAGAACUGUUAGUAACCGCUUUGAUGUAAAGCAAAUAUUCCUUGAGCUUCUUUAAUCUGUUCCAAGGACUGAUGUACUGCUUACCAGCCUUGGUAUGAGCAAGGGGUCGUUACUGUAAUACGGUCAGUUGCUUGUCUCCAAAUUCAUCUUACCAAACAUCAUUUUGCUCCAGUAGUAGCCUGAAGUGUUCUGUUCUUUUGCAUAUAAAAUACAUGAUGAAGAGUGACCCAACCAUCUCAUCUGUCUUGCAUUUUGGAAAUUAAAAACAUAGAAAAUAGACAGAAUCAUAGGGGCUGGGAGGGACCUCUGAAGGUCCAACUCCCUGCUAAAGCAGCUUUCCUGGAGUAGGUCGUAUAGGAAAGCAUCCAGGUGGAUUUUGUAUAUCUCCAGAGAAGGAGACUCUACCACCUCUUUGGACAGCCUGUCCCAGUGCUCUGUCACCCAAACGCUAACAAAGUUUUUCCUCAUGUUUGUGUGAAACUGGCUAUGUUCCUGUUCGUGCCCAUUGCCCCUUGUCCUAUUGCUGGGCACCGCUAAGAGCCUGGCCCCAUCCACUUGACUUGACUCACCCUUAUGGGUAGUCGUUUUCAGUGUUAUCACUGGUUGCUGGAACGAGCCUUUGGCUACUUCUGGUGCACCUGAGUAGGUAGCAGGAUGAACACGAUUCUGAAAUGCAUUGUGAGAACCAGCUGCACAUUGUUUAAGAAAAAGAAAAAAAAUCUCUCUGUGCUCUAAGGGAUGGUGGGGGGGAGGAGGGGUAGGAACCACUUACACUUGUCUUCAGUAUAUCUAUAACUAACCAGUUCUCUUCCACCCCUCAUAUAGUGACGCUCUAGUGAAAAGUUAUUUCCUUCUGUUACUUUUAUACAAUUUACAGGCCAUUAUUUGACCAUAAACACAUAGCCUUACUGUAAAUGGGAGCCUUGAAGACAGAUUUGCUUCUGUCUAGUAAUUUGAGUAGCACUGAGGAACAGCUACAAUAUGCCUUAAAGGCCCAGCAGAGGUAUCUGCGUUGUUCAGGAUGAAAAUUUUACUCAGUGAUUUUUGGGGUGGGUAUUUCUUAAGUUCUUUGCACGUCUCUUUCUGAGAGGAUUUGUGUAUACCUGCUUGAUUUCAUGGCUGCUGAGUUCAAAAAUGACCUGCAGGACUUAGGCAGCUCUGUAAAUUAGUGUACAGACUGAGGAGACAUGAAAAUGAGGUGAUGAGGCUUGGCUGUAGAAAGAUUUUGCUGUCAGUCUGAAUGAAAUAACGCUGUGGGGCUGGAAACAGCAGGCAUUGUCAGAUAGAAGGGAUUAAAAGGCUUUUUAGUGUGGCUUAGUAGUGUACAGAAGAUUGGCUUACUUGUGAUAGAUCUUCUUUCGUCACAUUGAUCUUUAUUUUGCAUUGUGCUUAGUACAACAAAAACUGGAGACUGAAGUCUUCUUUCAUGAAUCAUCUCACACAACCCGUCCCUUUUAUUACUUAUUAAAAUCUUUUUUUUUUUUAAGAAAUUGAUUUCUUUUUGCCACUGUAGCCAAUGUUGAGUAAUAGCUGAAGAAUACCAAGCUGUAAUAAUUUUAUGAUCACUGUAUGUGGCCACGUUGGUGAGAGGAAGCUACGACAGAAUGGGUUAGAGUACUUUAUAUUACUUUCCUGUAUGGAUGUAUCGAUCUACCAUAAUAGGGAGCUGGCUGAUGAGGGAAUAAAAGGCAAUUCAAUGGUUCCCCGUGUCAGCUGUAUGUGACUAAACCCACGAGGUGGUAAUUACAAGACGAUAGCUCCAGUUCCAGGGGAUGCAGCUGGCUUGUCAGGCUGGGAACUAGAAAUGAGUGGAGGAUGAUGUUGGCAGAGGCCGACAAAGGAAACUGUUUGACACAGAGCAAGACGUACUGAAAGAGGCUGGAAGAAGCUGGGCCUUCCUUUCGCCAGCACUGGAGCAGUAGGUGUGUUGUACAGGAAAGGCGAGUGUGUUGACUGGUUUAUUGUUUUCAAGAUCUAUUCUGUCUUAAAUGGUUUGGUGCUAAGUAAGUGUUUUGUGGUCAGUGCUUACUGUCAUUACUUUACGAGAGACUAAAACUGCAAGGCCUGGAUCCGUCCUGAAUCUGCAGAGGUAAUCAUGGCUCAGACACCAGGGAAGCAACCUGAGAACCGCUCUGCAUGUAGCUAAAGAAGACAGCGUGGGAUCUGGAGGAACAGUUAGCCGAUCUCUUGUGAGGGCAAAAUGCAAACACACGAGUUCUGUUUUUUCUUUUUUGAGAAUGAUUUUGUGCUUAAGUAGUUUAUAGAACAAGGGGUAGGCUUGCACAGACAGACUUAAACUUGGUGUUUGGAUGCGUUGUUUUUCCUUUUUAUGGCAUAGUUAAAAACACAGUAUCUGAGGUAAGAAAAAAUACUGCAUUAAUAAUGGUAAAUAUCGGUUACGUCUAAAAUACAGGCUGGCUGCUGCAACUGAAAGAUAACACAGCAAAAGUGGGUUUUAUUUUGUUCUCUUUUUAUUCACUGUUUAUUGUACAGUUGUUCUCACCACUUACCGUAUAUAAUUGAUUGGUUGUCUCCUGCUGUUAAUAUGGUUAUUUGGUGCAUGGAAAUUGAAAAAAGACAUGUUUUUAUGAAAAGGAAAAUGCAGCUAAAAAACUUGUCUUUUCACAGGAUGGAAGGUUGUGCCACGUCUUAUCCCAAUAAAACAGCCAUUAACGGC